GACGAACGCUGGCGGCGUGCUUAACACAUGCAAGUCGAACGGAAAGGCCCUGCUUUUGUGGGGUGCUCGAGUGGCGAACGGGUGAGUAACACGUGAGUAACCUGCCCUUGACUUUGGGAUAACUUCAGGAAACUGGGGCUAAUACCGGAUAGGAGCUCCUGCUGCAUGGUGGGGGUUGGAAAGUUUCGGCGGUUGGGGAUGGACUCGCGGCUUAUCAGCUUGUUGGUGGGGUAGUGGCUUACCAAGGCUUUGACGGGUAGCCGGCCUGAGAGGGUGACCGGCCACAUGGGGACUGAGAUACGGCCCAGACUGCUACGGGAGGCAGCAGGGGGGAAUAUUGCACAAUGGGCGGAAGCCUGAUGCAGCAACGCCGCGUGCGGGAUGACGGCCUUCGGGUUGUAAACCGCUUUCGCCUGUGACGAAGCGUGAGUGACGGUAAUGGGUAAAGAAGCACCGGCUAACUACGUG
rnacentral:rRNA from 1 species